rnacentral:rRNA from 1 species
GUGCCAGCAGCCGCGGUAAUACGGAGGGUGCGAGCGUUAAUCGGAAUUACUGGGCGUAAAGCGCAUGCAGGUGGUUUGUUAAGUCAGAUGUGAAAGCCCGGGGCUCAACCUCGGAACUGCAUUUGAAACUGGCAGACUAGAGUACUGUAGAGGGGGGUAGAAUUUCAGGUGUAGCGGUGAAAUGCGUAGAGAUCUGAAGGAAUACCGGUGGCGAAGGCGGCCCCCCUGGACAGAUACUGACACUCAGAUCGCGAAAGCGUGGGGAGCAAACAGGAUUAGAUACCCCUGGUAG